rnacentral:lncRNA from 1 species
AUUCUGCAGCCUCAGCCUCCCGAGUAGCUGGGACUGCAGGCAUGCGCCACCACACCCAGCUGAUUUUUGUAUUUUUAGUAGAGACGGGGUUUCACCAUGUUGGCCAGGCUGGUCUUGAACUCUUGACCUUAGGUGAUCCACCCUCCUCAGCCUCCCGAAGUGCUGGGAUUACAGGCGUGAGCCACCACGCCCAGCCUUAGAUGGCACCUUUUGAUGCACUGUCUGCACCUCGCCUCCUCCAGUCCAAGGCCCAGCGCAGCCUCCCUGGACACACAGCCACCCACCCUUCUCCUCCUUCUCCUCUGGGACACACAUCUGUCCACCCUCCUCCUCCUCCUCCUCCUGGACACAGUCGCCCACCCUCCUCCUCCUGGACACACAGCCGCCCACUCUCCUCUUCCUCCUCCUUCUCGACACACAACCACCCACCCUGCUCCUCCUCCUCCUCCUCCUGGACACACAGCUGCCCACCCUCCUCCUCCUGGACACGCAGCCGCCCACCCUCCUCCUGGACACACAGCCGCCCACUCUCCUCCUCCUGGACAUGCAGCCGCCCACCCUGCUCCUCCUCCUCCUGGACACACAGACACCUACCCUCCUCCUGCUGGACACACAGCCACCCACCCUGCUCUUCCUCCUCCCCCUCCUCCCUGCUGUUUGCUAAAUGUGCCCCAACUACUCCUCCAGGCUCUGAAACCCAGAGGCUCUAACACCAGAAGUG